UACGUAGGCAGCGAGCGUUGUUCGGAGUUACUGGGCGUAAAGAGUGCGUAGGCGGUUUUCUAAGUUUGGUGUGAAAUCUCCCGGCUCAACUGGGGAACUGCACAGGAAACUAGCGGGCUUGAGUUCGGGAGAGGGAAGCGGAAUUCCGGGUGUAGCGGUGAAAUGCGUAGAUAUCCGGAGGAACACCGGUGGCGAAGGCGGCUUCCUGGACCGACACUGACGCUGAGGCGCGAAAGCUAGGGGAGCAAACGGG
rnacentral:rRNA from 1 species